UUCCUUAGCAAUGGGCAAAGAGAUACCUCACUGGUGGUGGUGCUCUUAUAUCAGUCAGGGGUAGAGUAGGUGGCAGUUCUUUGUUCAUCCUAACUUGAUGCCAGGCUUGAUAGCUAAAGAUAUUUUCUCCUUAGGACACACAG